CCUACGGGAGGCAGCAGUGGGGAAUAUUGCGCAAUGGGCGAAAGCCUGACGCAGCGACGCCGCGUGAGGGAUGAAGGUCUUCGGAUCGUAAACCUCUGUCAGCAGGGAAGAACAUUCGCUGUACUAAUCAACAGUAGAUUGACGGUACCUUCACAGGAAGCACCGGCUAACUCCGUGCCAGCAGCCGCGGUAAUACGUAGGUUGCAAGCGUUAUUCGGAAUUACUGGGCGUAAAGCGCUCGUAGGCGGUAUGUCAAGUCAGGGGUAAAAUCCCGGGGCUCAACCCCGGAUCGCUUUUGAUACUAGCAAACUGGAGUGAGAGAGAGGAUAGCGGAAUUCCAGGUGAAGGAGUGAAAUGCGUAGAUAUAUGGAGGAACAUCAGAGGCGAAGGCGACUAUCUGGCACAUAACUGACGCUGAGGAGCGAAAGCGUGGGGAGCAAACAGGAUUAGAUACCCGGGUAGUC
rnacentral:rRNA from 1 species